CAGAGAAAUUAGAAGAGAGCACUAUCCCCUCUGACGGGGCAGGUACUGCCUCAUAUGUUGCUUUGGGCUAAAACCCUGGGUCUCUAGGUGCUGAGAGAAGCUAGAAGGAAGGAUGACAAAGUCUGUAAUUCCUGGGAAAUGAGACAGGCAGCAUAGCCCAUCCAGGCUCUGACUCACUUGGAGACCUUCUCUCUUCUGGCUCCAUCCAUCCCCCACGUCAAUCAUAACAAAGAGGAAAUCAGCUUUGCCCUCGGGGAUGCAUCUGGCAACAAUUAUGAUUUGGGGAGAUGGAGCCUUGUUCUGUCACCCAGGCUGGAGUGCAGUGGCGCAAUCUUGGCUCACGGCAACCUCCACCUUCCAGGUUCAAGCGAUUCUCCUGCCUCAGCCUCCCAAGUAGCUGGGAUUACAGGCGCCUGCCACCACGCCCAGCUAAUUUUUGUACAUAAUCACUUAUUUUCAAUCACUGCUGUGCCUACACUUUCAAUUCCAGGGUCCUUUUAUCACUUGGUUGUGUUUGCUUAGAAAACUACCACCCUAGUUAAAAUAAACUCUUCACCUGUAACUCAU
rnacentral:lncRNA from 10 species